GUCAUGGAGGUGGUGCCCACCUGUAGUCCCAGCUACUCAGGAGGCUGAGGCGGGAGACCACUUGAGCCCAGGAGUUCUGGGCUGUAGUGUGCUGUGCUGAUCUGGUGUCCACACUAAGUUCAGCAUCAGUAUGGUGAGCUCCCAGGAGUGGAGCACCACCAGGUUGCCUAAGGAGGGAUGAACCGACCCAGGUCAGAAAUGGAGUAGGUCAAAACUCAUGCUGAUCAGUAAUGGGAUUGCUGCACUUGUGAAUGGCCAGUGCACUCCACCCUUGGCAACAUAGUGAGAUCCCAUCUCUA
ensembl:misc_RNA Metazoa_SRP Metazoan signal recognition particle RNA